rnacentral:rRNA from 1 species
UGGGGAAUAUUGCACAAUGGGCGAAAGCCUGAUGCAGCGACGCCGCGUGAGGGAUGACGGCCUUCGGGUUGUAAACCUCUUUCAGUCGGGACGACGCGCAAGUGACGGUACCUACAGAAGAAGCACCGGCCAACUACGUUCCAGCAGCCGCGGUAAUACGUAGGGUGCGAGCGUUGUCCGGAUUUACUGGGCGUAUAGAGCUCGUAGGCGGUUUGUCACGUCGUCUGUGAAAACCCGAGGCUUAACCUCGGGCCUGCAGGCGAUACGGGCAGACUUGAGUACUGUAGGGGAGACUGGAAUUCCUGGUGUAGCGGUGGAAUGCGCAGAUAUCAGGAGGAACACCGGUGGCGAAGGCUGGUCUCUGGGCAGUAACUGACGCUGAGGAGCGAAAGCGUGGGUAGCGAACAGG